UUAAGUUAAUAAGGGCGCACGGUGGAUGCCUUGGCACUAGAAGCCGAUGAAGGACGUGACUAACGACGAAAUGCUUUGGGGAGCUGUAAGUGAGCAAUGAUCCAGAGAUGUCCGAAUGGGGGAACCCGGCAGGUAAUGCCUGUCACUCAUUACUGUUAAGGUAAUGUAGAGGAAGACGCAGUGAACUGAAACAUCUAAGUAGCUGCAGGAAGAGAAAGCAAAAGCGAUUGCCUUAGUAGCGGCGAGCGAAACGGCAAGAGGGCAAACCGAAGAGUUUACUCUUCGGGGUUGUAGGACUGCAACGUGGACUUAAAGAUUAUAGAAGAACUACCUGGGAAGGUAGGCCAAAGAGAGUAAUAGCCUCGUAUUCGAAAUAGUCUUUAUACCUAGCAGUAUCCUGAGUACGGCGAGACACGAGAAAUCUCGUCGGAAUCUGGGAGGACCAUCUCCCAACCCUAAAUACUCUCUAGUGACCGAUAGUGAACCAGUACCGUGAGGGAAAGGUGAAAAGCACCCCGGGAGGGGAGUGAAAGAGAUCCUGAAACCAUGUGCCUACAAGUAGUUAGAGCCCGUUAAUGGGUGAGAGCGUGCCUUUUGUAGAAUGAACCGGCGAGUUACGAUAUGAUGCGAGGUUAAGUUGAAGAGACGGAGCCGUAGGGAAACCGAGUCUUAAUAGGGCGCAUUAGUAUCAUGUCGUAGACCCGAAACCAUGUGACCUACCCAUGAGCAGGUUGAAGGUGAGGUAAAACUCACUGGAGGACCGAACCAGGGCACGUUGAAAAGUGCUUGGAUGACUUGUGGGUAGCGGAGAAAUUCCAAACGAACUUGGAGAUAGCUGGUUCUCUCCGAAAUAGCUUUAGGGCUAGCGUCGAUGUUAAGUCUCUUGGAGGUAGAGCACUGUUUGGGUGAGGGGUCCAUCCCGGAUUACCAAUCUCAGAUAAACUCCGAAUGCCAACGAGAUAUAAUCGGCAGUCAGACUGCGAGUGCUAAGAUCCGUAGUCGAAAGGGAAACAGCCCAGACCACCAGCUAAGGUCCCAAAAUAAUUGUUAAGUGGAAAAGGAUGUGGGGUUGCACAGACAACUAGGAUGUUAGCUUGGAAGCAGCUAUUCAUUCAAAGAGUGCGUAAUAGCUCACUAGUCGAGUGACCCUGCGCCGAAAAUGUACCGGGGCUAAAACAAUUUACCGAAGCUGUGGAUACCUUUAUAGGUAUGGUAGGAGAGCGUUCUAUGUGUGGAGAAGGUGUACCGUGAGGAGUGCUGGAGCGCAUAGAAGUGAGAAUGCCGGUAUGAGUAGCGAAAGACAGGUGAGAAUCCUGUCCACCGUAAGACUAAGGUUUCCAGGGGAAGGCUCGUCCGCCCUGGGUUAGUCGGGACCUAAGGAGAGACCGAAAGGUGUAUCCGAUGGACAACAGGUUGAUAUUCCUGUACUAGAGUAUAUAGUGAUGGAGGGACGCAGUAGGCUAACUAAACCAGACGAUUGGAAGUGUCUGGCCAAGCAGUGAGGUGUGAUAUGAGUCAAAUGCUUAUAUCUUUAACAUUGAGCUGUGAUGGGGAGCGAAGUUUAGUAGCGAAGUUAGUGAUGUCACACUGCCGAGAAAAGCUUCUAGCGUUAAUUAUACUCUACCCGUACCGCAAACCGACACAGGUAGUCGAGGCGAGUAGCCUCAGGUGAGCGAGAGAACUCUCGUUAAGGAACUCGGCAAAAUGGCCCCGUAACUUCGGGAGAAGGGGCGCUGACUGAUGGUCAGCCGCAGUGAAUAGGCCCAAGCAACUGUUUAUCAAAAACACAGCUCUCUGCUAAAUCGUAAGAUGACGUAUAGGGGGUGACACCUGCCCGGUGCUGGAAGGUUAAGAGGAGGAGUGCAAGCCCCGAAUCGAAGCCCCAGUAAACGGCGGCCGUAACUAUAACGGUCCUAAGGUAGCGAAAUUCCUUGUCGGGUAAGUUCCGACCCGCACGAAAGGCGUAAUGAUUUGGGCACUGUCUCAACGAGAGACUCGGUGAAAUUUUAGUACCUGUGAAGAUGCAGGUUACCCGCGACAGGACGGAAAGACCCCAUGGAGCUUUACUGCAGUUUGAUAUUGAGUAUCUGUACCACAUGUACAGGAUAGGUAGGAGCCUAUGACCUCGGGACGCCAGUUUCGAGUGAGGCGUUGUUGGGAUACUACCCUUGUGUUAUGGCUACUCUAACCCAGAUAGGUUAUCCCUAUCGGAGACAGUGUCUGACGGGCAGUUUGACUGGGGCGGUCGCCUCCUAAAAGGUAACGGAGGCGCCCAAAGGUUCCCUCAGAAUGGUUGGAAAUCAUUCGCAGAGUGUAAAGGUAUAAGGGAGCUUGACUGCGAGAGCUACAACUCGAGCAGGGACGAAAGUCGGGCUUAGUGAUCCGGUGGUUCCGCAUGGAAGGGCCAUCGCUCAACGGAUAAAAGCUACCCUGGGGAUAACAGGCUUAUCUCCCCCAAGAGUUCACAUCGACGGGGAGGUUUGGCACCUCGAUGUCGGCUCGUCGCAUCCUGGGGCUGUAGUCGGUCCCAAGGGUUGGGCUGUUCGCCCAUUAAAGCGGCACGCGAGCUGGGUUCAGAACGUCGUGAGACAGUUCGGUCCCUAUCCGUCGCGGGCGUAGGAAAUUUGAGAGGAUCUGCUCCUAGUACGAGAGGACCAGAGUGGACUUACCGCUGGUGUACCAGUUGUUCUGCCAAGAGCAUCGCUGGGUAGCUAUGUAGGGAAGGGAUAAACGCUGAAAGCAUCUAAGUGUGAAGCCCACCUCAAGAUGAGAUUUCCCAUGAUUUUAUAUCAGUAAGAGCCCUGAGAGAUGAUCAGGUUGAUAGGUUAGAAGUGGAAGUGUGGUGACACAUGUAGCGGACUAAUACUAAUAGCUCGAGGACUUAUCCAA
rnacentral:rRNA from 1 species